GACGAACGCUGGCGGCGUGCUUAACACAUGCAAGUCGAACGGAAAGGCCCUGCUUUUGUGGGUUGCUCGAGUGGCGAACGGGUGAGUAACACGUGAGUAACCUGCCCUUGACUUUGGGAUAACUUCAGGAAACUGGGGCUAAUACCGGAUAUGAGCUCCUGCUGCAUGGUGUUGGUUGGAAAGUUUCGGCUGUUGGGGAUGGACUCGCGGCUUAUCCGCUUGUUGGUGUGGUAGUGGCUUUCCAAGGCUUUGACGGGUAGCCUGCCUGAGAGGGUGAGAGGCGACAUAGGGACUGAGAGACGGCAGAGACAGCUAAGGGAGGCAGAAGGGGGGAAGAUUGAACAAGGGGCGGAAGCCUGAUGAAGAAACGCCGCGUGCGGGAUAACGGCCUUAGGGUUGUAAACCGCUUUCGCAUGUGACGAAGCGUGAGUGAAGGUAAUGGGUUAAGAAGCACAGGCUAAAUACGUG
rnacentral:rRNA from 1 species